CGACCUGGGGCUGCGGCGCCUGCGCCAGCAGCCCCACGUGCGGCGGGAGCGGCUGCGCACGCAGCCCCGCAGCCCUGCUGCCGUCGGACGCCCUAGAAGGGCGAGGUUUCCUUCCUGGACAUGCACAGCUUCUAUUGAAACCGGAUCACUGAGUCUGUGCCCAGCGUGCAAGAAACCAACCUUUCAGACGCUGGUUUUGAGAGGAAGAAAAAGUUUAUUUCGCAGGCUAGCAAGCGGGAACUCAGAGGUCUCGACCUCAGAUUGAGUUCCUCAAUUUGAGGAAGCAUUUACAUUUUGUACGUUUAGGGGACUAUACAUAUUCAUAUAGGGGUGGAGGAAGGUAGGUGGGCAGAAUCAGGAAGUUCUACAUUUUCAUAGUUUUUAUUAUUUACUACGGGGCGGAGCUAAGACUUGGCACGGAAGCGGCCGAUGGACUCUUCGCUUCUGAAAUGCGCUGGGCUACUGCAGAUGAUGUACGUCCAGUGAAUUUAGUUGACAUGAGUCUUUUUGUUCCUUGACCUGAGUUUGCCCAUGCUGUUGAGCGUGCGUGGGGGUUCCGAAGUAACCCUUGUCUGCUCCGUGCUUGUCUGACCUUAAACCGGUUAGAUCCAGAUCUGUCAGGAAUUCUCCAGAUCGUCUGUAAAACAACUUAAGAGGAAGUCCCGUAACAACUCCCCCCUGUGAUUUGUUCCAUUGCCAAUCUUGGGAAUGGGGACGACGAUCACUCUUAGCUGAUUUCUGCUGAAAACGGACAUUGUUGGAUGGAUGUUUUCGCGUAAGUCUGAAUCUCAGACCUUUGAUUUACAGGCUGGAGAGGCAUGUGCCCUUCCCCGGGGAGCAGUACGGGGGACAAAAGGCCAGCAGCCUUUAACCUGGUUUCAGUAAAACGGGUGAGAGGACGGAGAAGACGCGGGCCGACACUGAAGUUCUUCCAAGUGUCCAUCACCCGUUACACUCACUAGUCAGGACGCUCCCCAGGUCUUGCUGGGGUCUGAGGGCAGAGGCACUGGCCCGCGGAAGGCACUGGGAGUAAAAAGGCUGAUGUCACUGGUGAAGAUUGGGGUGGUGGACUCCUCUUGACUCCCUGUCCCGUCAUUCCAUUCCCGGUGUCACAGGGAUGAGCCAUCUGGUUGAUCUAAGGAGGAUCAGUCUUAUACUGGAGCACAAGCUUGAGUCUGGAGUGAUGUAUCCAAGACACACACAUGGAGACAGAGUGAGCUCACACCAGACCAGAGGACAGAGUGUCGGGACCACACGGUUAACGGGAACGGACUUACCCAUCCUGCGCCUCCAGACCAACGCAGAUCUGUUAACUCUUCUCAAGUUGGGUUUGCACCCUAACUGGGAACGCUGCCCACGGGGCUUAAACUUACCCGCAGCCUCUGAAUUGAAAGAGAUACAGGCGUGCCCUGAGGGCACUGAUAAGCCCGGCCUCAGCCAGUGGGGCUCCAAGAAAACUGGGCAAACAAUAGAACUGUUUAAGGUCCCAUCAGGUGUGCCAAAAUUGAAACUGGACCUAUGGGUCCGUCCCCGGUGUGCAAGGAGCCAAUCUCUCAGACGCUGGUUUUGAGAGGAAGAAAGCAUUUAUCUCGCAGGCUACCAAGCGGCAACUCAAAGGUCUCGACCUCAGCCUGAAUUUCUUGAUUUGAGGAAGCAUUUACAUUUUACAGGUAUGGGAAACUACACAUAUUCAUAUAGAGGUGGAGGAAGGCAGGUGGGCAGGAUCAGGAAGUUCUACAUAUUCAUAGUUUUUACUGAUUAUUUAUUACGGGGGGGCGCUAAGACUCGGCACAGUAGCCACCGAUGGGCUCUUCACUUCUGAAAUGGGCUGGGCUAUGCAGAUGAGGCAUGCCUCGUGAAUUUCGCUCUUUGACCUGAGUUUUUUCCCAUGCUAUUGAGCAUGCGUGGGGGGUCCGACAUGGUCUGUCAGUCACCCUUGUCUGCUUUGCGCAUGUCUGACCUCCUUAAUCCGUUAGAUCCAGAUCCGUCAGGAAUUCUCCAGAGUCUGCAAAACAACUAAGAGGAAGUGAGCGAGGAGGGGAGGUGACUGGGAGUGGCCUGAUAACUGGUGGAGUACUAAUUAACUAGGUGUUUUUUAAAGGUCCCCUAACAACUGUAUCCGUCCCCCCAACACUUCCUCGCCCCACGGCAGCGCAGUAUGUGGGUGGGGGGACCGGGAGAAGCGUUUUAGAGAGUGUGCAUCUGCCACCCAGCAAGGGUCUUUUUGCAGCGGGGACAGCAAGAGUCGGGGAC